ACGAAUGGGCGAAAGCCUGAUCCAGCCAUGCCGCGUGAGUGAAGAAGGCCUCGGUUGUAAAGCUCUUUCAGCCGGAAAGAAAUCGCGCAGGAUAAUACUCUGCGUGGAUGACGGUACCGGAAGAAGAAGCACCGGCUAACUACGUGCCAGCAGCCGCGGUAAUACGUAGGGUGCGAGCGUUAAUCGGAAUUACUGGGCGUAAAGCGUGCGCAGGCGGUUAUGUAAGACAGAUGUGAAAUCCCCCGGGCUCAACCUGGGAACUGCGUUUUGUGACUGCAUAACUAGAGUACGGCAGAGGGAGGUGGAAUUCCGCGUGUAGCAGUGAAAAUGCGUAGAUAUGCGGAGGAACACCGAUGGCGAAGGCAGCCUCCUGGGCCAGUACUGACGCUCAUGCACGAAAGCGUGGGGAGC
rnacentral:rRNA from 1 species